AGGACGAACGCUGGCGGCGUGCUUAACACAUGCAAGUCGAACGAUGAUCCGGUGCUUGCACCGGGGAUUAGUGGCGAACGGGUGAGUAACACGUGAGUAACCUGCCCUGGACUCUGGGAUAACCCCGAGAAAUCGGAGCUAAUACCGGAUAGGACCUGGAACCGCAUGGUUUUGGGUGGAAAGUUUUUCGGUCUGGGAUGGACUCGCGGCCUAUCAGCUUGUUGGUGAGGUAAUGGCUCACCAAGGCGUCGACGGGUAGCCGGCCUGAGAGGGUGACCGGCCACACUGGGACUGAGACACGGCCCAGACUCCUACGGGAGGCAGCAGUGGGGAAUAUUGCACAAUGGGCGCAAGCCUGAUGCAGCAACGCCGCGUGAGGGAUGACGGCCUUCGGGUUGUAAACCUCUUUUAGUAGGGAAGAAGGGCUUCGGCUUGACGGUACCUGCAGAAAAAGCACCGGCUAACUACGUGCCAGCAGCCGCGGUAAUACGUAGGGUGCGAGCGUUGUCCGGAAUUAUUGGGCGUAAAGAGCUCGUAGGCGGUUUGUCACGUCUGCUGUGAAAUCCCGAGGCUCAACCUCGGGCCUGCAGUGGGUACGGGCAGACUGGAGUGCGGUAGGGGAGAAUGGAAUUCCUGGUGUAGCGGUGGAAUGCGCAGAUAUCAGGAGGAACACCGAUGGCGAAGGCAGUUCUCUGGGCCGUAACUGAC
rnacentral:rRNA from 1 species